ACAUCGAUAACUCAGUGGCAGAGUGGUGUUGGUGGGGCGUUUACCCAUGCGGCCCGGGUUCGAUUCCCGGUCGAUGCA